rnacentral:sRNA from 1 species
UGACAUCUCUGUAUGUCAUGGCCUUGGC